UAGUGGCAGCUGAAUCCUGUAAACAGCUUGCAAGACAGCAAGUAAUCCUGCGAGUUCCACCAGACAUAUAUCCCAGAGGGGGCAAGUGUUCUCUAUGAUGUCACCUGGCAGCAAAGUGAUGAGUCAGGGAAAUUACCCCGGCUGCUGACUAGCUUGUCUCUGCUCAGCUCCAAUGGGCCUGGAUGCUUCACACCACAGUAAUGAAAUUAUCUCCCUAAACACACAAGCGUCCCAUCAGAUAAUCCAGGCGGUAAAGCUCUCAAACAUUUUUUUUUCAUUGAAAU
rnacentral:lncRNA from 1 species